GACGAACGCUGGCGGCGUGCCUAAUACAUGCAAGUAGAACGCUGAAGGAGGAGCUUGCUUCUCUGGAUGAGUUGCGAACGGGUGAGUAACGCGUAGGUAACCUGCCUGGUAGUGGGGGAUAACUAUUGGAAACGAUAGCUAAUACCGCAUAAUAGCAGUUGUUGCAUGAUAACUGUUUGAAAGGUGCAAUUGCACCGCUACCAGAUGGACCUGCGUUGUAUUAGCUAGUUGGUGGGGUAACGGCUCACCAAGGCGACGAUACAUAGCCGACCUGAGAGGGUGAUCGGCCACACUGGGACUGGGACACGGCCCAGACUCCUACGGGAGGCAGCAGUAGGGAAUCUUCGGCAAUGGACGGAAGUCUGACCGAGCAACGCCGCGUGAGUGAAGAAGGUUUUCGGAUCGUAAAGCUCUGUUGUAAGAGAAGAACGAGUGUGAGAGUGGAAAGUUCACACUGUGACGGUAUCUUACCAGAAAGGGACGGCUAACUACGUG
rnacentral:rRNA from 1 species